rnacentral:rRNA from 1 species
GGUCAAGUUAUUAAGGGUGCAGGGCGGAUGCCUUGGCACUAGGAGCCGAUGAAGGACGUGAUAAGCUGCGAUAAGCUUCGGGGAGUUGCACGUAAACUUUGAUCCGAAGAUUUCCGAAUGAGGAAACUCACUUAGAGUAAUGUCUAAGUAUCAUUAAGUGAAUACAUAGCUUAAUGAGGGGAACUCAGGGAACUGAAACAUCUAAGUACCUGAAGGAAGAGAAAGAAAUUCGAUUCCGUAAGUAGCGGCGAGCGAACGCGGAUUAGCCCAAACCAAUAAAGUUUUCUUUAUUGGGGUUGCGGACAUAUCAUAACGAAGAGGUAUCGUAAUUGAAGAGGUUUGGAAAGACCCACCACAGAAGGUAAUAGUCCUGUAUGUUAAACGAGAAGACUUUAGAUAUGAUCCAGAGUACCACGGGACACGUGAAACCCUGUGGGAAGCAGGAGGGACCACCCUCCAAGGCUAAAUACUACCUAGUGACCGAUAGCGUAUAGUACCGUGAGGGAAAGGUGAAAAGAACCCCGGGAGGGGAGUGAAAUAGAACCUGAAACCCUGCACUUACAAGCUGUGGAAGCACAUUUCUUGUGUGACCGCGUACUUUUUGUAGAACGGGCCAACGAGUUACGUUAAGUAGCAAGGUUAAGCACUUAAGGUGCGGAGCCGUAGCGAAAGCGAGUUUUAACUGAGCGUUCAGUUACUUGACGUAGACCCGAAACCGGGCGACCUACCCAUGAGCAGGAUGAAGCGAAAGUAAAAUUUCGUGGAGGUCCGAACCCACGAGCGUUGAAAAGCUCGGGGAUGACUUGUGGGUAGCGGUGAAAUUCCAAUCGAGCCCGGAGAUAGCUGGUUCUCCCCGAAAUAGCUUUAGGGCUAGCCUCAAGGUGAGAGAUACGGAGGUAGAGCACUGAAUGUCCUAGGGGGUAUUGCACCUACCGAAGACUAUCAAACUCCGAAUGCCGUCAUCUUAUACUUGGGAGUCAGACUGUGGGUGAUAAGAUUCAUAGUCGAAAGGGCAACAGCCCAGAUCGUCAGCUAAGGUCCCUAAAUGUAAGUUAAGUGGUAAAGGAUGUGGGAUUGCACAGACAACCAGGAUGUUGGCUUAGAAGCAGCCACUCAUUCAAAGAGUGCGUAAUAGCUCACUGGUCGAGUGAUCCUGCGCCGAAGAUUUCCGGGGCUAAAACUUACUACCGAAGCUACGGCAUCAGUAAUGAUGGGUAGGGGAGCUUCCCAUACGGGUUGAAGCAUGACCGUAAGGACAUGUGGACAGUAUGGGAGUGAGAAUGUUGGCAUGAGUAGCGAGAUGUGGGUGAGAAUCCCACAGGCCGUAAACCCAAGGUUUCCAGGGGAAGGUUCGUCCGCCCUGGGUUAGUCGGGACCUAAGCUGAGGCCGAAAGGCGUAGGUGAUGGACAACAGGUUGAU